rnacentral:rRNA from 1 species
UACGUAGGGUGCGAGCGUUGUCCGGAAUUACUGGGCGUAAAGAGCUCGUAGGUGGUUUGUCGCGUUGUCCGUGAAAACUCACAACUCAAUUGUGGGCGUGCGGGCGAUACGGGCAGACUGGAGUACUGCAGGGGAGACUGGAAUUCCUGGUGUAGCGGUGGAAUGCGCAGAUAUCAGGAGGAACACCGGUGGCGAAGGCGGGUCUCUGGGCAGUAACUGACGCUGAGGCGCGAAAGCGUGGGGAGUAAACAGG